GUCUUAUUAGUAUAAAUUAGUACCUCUGACUUCCAAUUAGAUAGUUCACAUUUAUGUGGAUGAGGCAC
rnacentral:tRNA from 1 species